CACACUCUAUGCAUUACCCCAACUGGCUGCCGGGUGUCACUGCUCCUCCAUGGGAGAAACACACAUAAGAAAGGCCGUACGGGGUCAGACCAAAGGUCCAUCUAGCCCAGUAUCCUGUCUACCGACAAAAAGCAACAGCGGGUCCUGUGGCACCUUUAAGACUAACAGAAGUAUUGGGAGCAUAAGCUUUCGUGGCCACCACCAAGCAGAGCCUGGCCACAGAGCAGCGCUACAGCAGGUGCAUGGACCAGCUGCACACUGUGCUCCUCAUCUGCUCCGGGACGGACAAGCCCGUGGGCUCCUGGCUGCUGAACAACCUGCCCCAGAUCUCACCCUCUCCUGCUACCGGAGUAGCCUGCUCACCACUGAGACCAAGACCAGCCCCCAGCUGCCCUGGCAGCCACUGACCCUAAUGUGGAGAGCCUGAUGUGUGGUGGGGGGAAACAUCCCAGUAUCUCCUCUGUAGGGUCAGGACGUGUUAUUAAAAACUGCUCCCUGUCCCAAUUUCCUAAUGGUUGCAGUUACAGGACAUAGCAAUUUUUUUGCUGUCCUGAUGCAAUUCACCACCCCCACAAUUCACCAGCCCUGGGUCUGGGAGUAGCGAUUUGUGGCAGAUGGGGUAUGCAUUGUUACAAUGUGCUACUUCUGGGAAAUCUCUAUUUGAAAUUGGCACACUCAUGAGAUGAGUUUUCUAACAAUACAUUUUUCUAAGUUAGAAAACAUUUGUGUUAUUGAGAUCCAAAUUUAAUAUAGAGAUUUCAUGGGGUAGGAAACUGUGACAGGGCAUAAACCAUCCAUCACAAAUUGCUACUUUGGGACCAGGGCUGAGGUAACCAAGGAAAUCAGGCAGCAUUCAAGUGAUAUGAUCACAAAUAAUAGCCUGACAUUAAAAA